CGCCCCACCCUGCCGCCCCACUACGCCGACGCAGCCGCACUUUCACCGCUAUAUAAACUGCCGCACUGCAUUCUCCCGUACCUCCAGUUGUUUCCUGGAUCACAGCUCUGCACCAUGUUCAGGUUUCUGGUUCUGCUGGUUCUGGUGGCGCUGGCAGCGUGCGUGCUGGCGACCCACGAGCCGGGCCACACGGAGAGCGGCGGUGGCGCCUCUGGCGGCGUCCGCUACGGCGCAGGCGCGGGCAGCGUGUCCUCCGAGGGCGGGCACGGCCGGGAAGCCGGCUACGGCGACGCCUUCGGCCACGAGACGCACGGCAAGCAGUAGCCGGGCGCAUCCCCGCUCACUCUGCACAGCGCCGCUGCCGCCUUCAUCACAGCCUCUCACCACAGCCGACAGCACUCAGCACAGUGACACACUACUCUUGCGUGGAAAUGCAUACCCGAGAACAUGUCAGUACAGACGCUAAAUAAUGGUAGCAGCUCUCGAGAUGUCCCACGCAAGCAGAGCAGAACACGUACCAAAAAGGACUAAUUGCCUCAGAUCAUCUCAAAAAGUAUUUGCAAUCAGAUUACAGUA